rnacentral:snRNA from 1 species
AACUUUGGGCUUGGGCAAUGACGCAGUUAGUGAGGUGAAACCAAGACCCGUCAAUUGCUAUUUCCAAACUAUUUCCAUUUCUAUAGAAAAUGAUAUCUUGAUAUCAUAGCUUAUAUCAAGUGUGUAGUGAGGUUCACUGC